UGAUGUAAUAUUGAGUCACUACUAACCUGACAACAGGCCAGAAGGAGGACCCUCUACUUCUGGGCCAGGGCUGACCACAGAUCCAACAAGCUCCCUGAGGCUCAUAAGAAGACACUUUGCCAAAAGAUACACGGACACCAACUAAGGUUUAAUGAGCUGCUUUCCCUGAUAUCUCAUUUAAUACACCACCUCAUGAAUUGGGCAGCACAGCUACCUCUGCCUCUCUUCUAGAAAUAAGGGAUGCUCGUUCAGACAACUUUCUCGCCACAAUCUAAUGUGCCUCACCACUCCUAACCGACAGUCUUACCAGUCAGCUUGCCAGUAACUUGAAGCCUGCAAGUGUAACGGGCCAGCAAUUUGUGCUUUUCAAAGAUUCCAACUGCCAAAAAUAAAUGAGAGCUUAGGACACAGCCACCAUGCUUAAUA